ensembl:lncRNA
CGGGCGGGGCCCAGGGCCGCGUGAGCUCGCGAGUCUGGGGCGGGAUGCCGGGUUCCCGGGCCUCUGGGCUUUCCGUUCAAGAUCUCCUUCUGAGAGGGAAGUGGAAAUGGUUUCUAGAUCCUUCGGAGAAGAGUGCUGUUUAACAUUUCUUUCCUCCUGCUCCCUGCUAGCUAUGUGGUCAGGCCACAGAAAUAACCAGUUUGUCAAAUGCUCUUGGAACCAGCUUUACCAUCCUACCUGUUCUUUCAUCAGUUAAAAUAAAAUCAUUGACAAGAGUUCAUUCUAUAUAGUCACAAGGCCUUGUGCAAACCCAGUGAAAUUAAUGGUUUUUCUCAGGAAAAUGAGAGUGCUGGAGAAGGUACACUCACACACACAUUUUGAAUGUCAUUUUUUAGAAAUCACAGAGCCCACUCCCCACAUUAUAAAAAUGUUAAAUUAAGGCUAUGGGAGGUUAGAUAAUAGGUUUAAGAUGGUUCAGGGACAUACUGAAAGUCACAUAGCUGGCACAGCAGGACAUAAAACAACGUUCUCCAAAGUUAGUGGGUUAUUUUUUUGGUUUUGAUUUUUGUUUGUUUUUAUUCACAGAAACCGUUCUCUGGUACAGGUCCCAUCUCAGAACCACUUUUUUCUUACCUGGAAAUGUUAAUACAGAACAAUAUUAUCUUUGUUAACACAUUUGCACUCUGAUUCCUUUGUAAACAGAGUAAAUGUGUCCCUGGAUCCACGAUUUUAAGGUUGGGGCUUUAACUGAAUAGGGCCCUCCCUCCCUGUCUCUGAGGCCAGACACUCUCAUUGGGCAUCGAUAAUAACUCAGCAACGUGAUUGCAGUCUCUAACACGUGCAAAAGGAGUUCUCAUCUGUUGUGUUUGAAGCCAGAGAAUGGAAUAGUGCUGUAACUUUCCUUGGUGGAUUAUUCCUUACUCAACAGCCACUUUGCUUUUGACCUGAAAAAGUGGGCCACAGAGAUCUUACACCAUCAGGCGUCUCUCUUAUUGGGCUGUGAAAGUCUAGCAUAUGGCUAAUUACAAUUUACGCCUCCUUAAGUGCUCG